UGCGCAGGCGGAAUGAUAAGUCAGUGGUGAAAUCUUACGGCUCAACCGUAAAACUGCCAUUGAUACUGUUGUUCUUGAGUACAGUUGUAGUGGGCGGAAUAUGUCAUGUAGCGGUGAAAUGCAUAGAUAUGACAUAGAACACCGAUCGCGAAGGCAGCUCACUAAGCUGAAACUGACGCUCAGGCACGAAAGCGUGGGGAGCGAACAGGAUUAGAUACCCUGGUAGUCC
rnacentral:rRNA from 1 species